UACGUAGGGCGCAAGCGUUAUCCGGAAUUAUUGGGCGUAAAGAGCUCGUAGGCGGUUUGUCGCGUCUGCCGUGAAAGUCCGGGGCUCAACUCCGGAUCUGCGGUGGGUACGGGCAGACUAGAGUGAUGUAGGGGAGACUGGAAUUCCUGGUGUAGCGGUGAAAUGCGCAGAUAUCAGGAGGAACACCGGUGGCGAAGGCGGUUCUCUGGGCAUGUACUGACGCUGAGGAGCGAAAGCGUGGGGAGCAAACAGG
rnacentral:rRNA from 1 species